rnacentral:rRNA from 1 species
GAUGAACGCUGGCGGCGUGCCUAAUACAUGCAAGUCGAGCGAACGGACGAGAAGCUUGCUUCUCUGAUGUUAGCGGCGGACGGGUGAGUAACACGUGGAUAACCUACCUAUAAGACUGGGAUAACUUCGGGAAACCGGAGCUAAUACCGGAUAAUAUUUUGAACCGCAUGGUUCAAAAGUGAAAGACGGUCUUGCUGUCACUUAUAGAUGGAUCCGCGCUGCAUUAGCUAGUUGGUAAGGUAACGGCUUACCAAGGCAACGAUGCAUAGCCGACCUGAGAGGAUGAGCGGCCCCACUGGAACUGGGAGCAGGGCCGGACUCCUACGGGAGGCAGUAGUAGGGAAUCUUGCGCAAUGGCCGCAAGCCUGACGGAGCAACGCCGCGUGAGUGAUGAAGGUCUUCGGAUCGUAAAACUCUGUGAUUAGGGAAGAACAUAUGUGUAAGUAACUGUGCACAUCUUGACGGUACCUAAUCAGAAAGCCACGGCUAACUACGUG